rnacentral:rRNA from 1 species
CACAGAGUUAGCCGGUGCUUCUUUAGUUGGUUACGUCAAGGCCGCGACGUAUUAGGUCGCAGCUUUUCUUCCCAACCGAAAGGGCUUUACAACCCGCAGGCCUUCUUCACCCACGCGGCGUCGCUGGAUCAGGCUUUCGCCCAUUGUCCAAUAUUCCCCACUGCUGCCUCCCGUAGGAGUCCGGACCGUGUCUCAGUUCCGGUGUGACUGGUCGUCCUCUCAGACCAGUUACGGAUCGUCGCCUUGGUAGGCCAUUACCCUACCAACUAGCUAAUCCGACUUGGGCUCAUCUAUCAGCGCCAGGCCUUGCGGUCCCCGGCUUUCAUCCGUAGAUCGUAUGCGGUAUUAGCCCGAGUUUCCCCGGGUUGUCCCCCACUGAUAGGCAGAUUCCCAAGCGUUACUCACCCGUCCGCCGCUCGUCAGCAUGUAUUGCUACACCUGUUACCGCUCGACUUGCAUGUGUUAGGCACGCCGCCAGCGUUCAAUCUGAGCCAGGAUCAAACUC